rnacentral:rRNA from 1 species
CCUACGGGAGGCAGCAGUAGGGAAUAUUGCUCAAUGGGGGAAACCCUGAAGCAGCAACGCCGCGUGGAGGAUGAAGGUUUUCGGAUUGUAAACUCCUUUUGUUAGAGAAGAUAAUGACGGUAUCUAACGAAUAAGCACCGGCUAACUCCGUGCCAGCAGCCGCGGUAAUACGGAGGGGGCAAGCGUUACUCGGAAUUACUGGGUGUAAAGAGGGCGUAGGGGGGAUAGCAAGUCAGAUGUGAAAGCCUAUGGCUUAACCAUAGAACUGCAUUUGAAACUGUGAUUCUAGAGUAUUGGAGAGGUAGGUGGAAUUCCUGGUGUAGCGGUUAAAUCCGUAGAUAUCAGGAGGAAUACUCAUUGCGAAGGCGGCCUGCUAGAACAUAACUGACGCUGAUGCGCGAAAGCGUGGGUAGCAAACAGGAUUAGAUACCCCAGUAGUC